rnacentral:lncRNA from 10 species
GCGGGGGGCGCGGACACGCGUGGUGUGCGCGGUCCCCGUGCAGCCCGCCCUGCCGCAGGCUGCCCUCCACCCCCAGCCCCAGCUCCAGCCCCCAGCCCGUCCCCACUGCUCAUAUCCGAGCAGAUAGACCCCGGCCCCACCCUCCCGUGCUGAGCCUCCUUUCUGCCGGGAAGUUCGUCCGGGAGUCAAACAUCGCUGCCCUCCGGUUGCGCCACGGAGGGGGAGCCAGGAUAGGAAGCUGCCGUGAAAUCAGGAAGCUGAGCGCGCCGGGCCCCGGAUCCGAACAGAAAAGGCUUCCACCCGCUCCCCUGAGGGAUCCCACGCUGAGGGACUGAACCCCGCACCCCAGCCGCGCUCACCACCCCCACCCUCUCGCCUGGGCUGCUCUGACCUGGGGAUUCCAGAACUGCCACUCAAAGUGCCCUAUGAGGAGCUGUGGUAACAAGGAAAUGUUCUCAUGACUCAAAAAUCAGUGGAAAAAGGUACAGGAUGAGAAGCCUUGUUUCCCAACCCUAUCAACAGGGCUGUGCUGUUUCCCUCUACCACGAAUGCUCUUCUUAAAUACGGCUCACUUCAUCUCCUUCUGAUACCUGCUUAAAUCUCAUCUUCUCAAAAUGGCCUUGUCUGACCAACUUAUUAAAAUAGUAUCCC